rnacentral:rRNA from 1 species
UAUCUGAACCUUCGGGGGACGAUAACGGCGUCGAGCGGCGGACGGGUGAGUAAUGCCUAGGAAAUUGCCCUGAUGUGGGGGAUAACCAUUGGAAACGAUGGCUAAUACCGCAUAAUACCUUCGGGUCAAAGAGGGGGACCUUCGGGCCUCUCGCGUCAGGAUAUGCCUAGGUGGGAUUAGCUAGUUGGUGAGGUAAUGGCUCACCAAGGCGACGAUCCCUAGCUGGUCUGAGAGGAUGAUCAGCCACACUGGAACUGAGACACGGUCCAGACUCCUACGGGAGGCAGCAGUGGGGAAUAUUGCACAAUGGGCGCAAGCCUGAUGCAGCCAUGCCGCGUGUGUGAAGAAGGCCUUCGGGUUGUAAAGCACUUUCAGUCGUGAGGAAGGUAGUGUAGUUAAUAGCUGCAUUAUUUGACGUUAGCGACAGAAGAAGCACCGGCUAACUCCGUGCCAGCAGCCGCGGUAAUACGGAGGGUGCGAGCGUUAAUCGGAAUUACUGGGCGUAAAGCGCAUGCAGGUGGUUUGUUAAGUCAGAUGUGAAAGCCCGGGGCUCAACCUCGGAAUAGCAUUUGAAACUGGCAGACUAGAGUACUGUAGAGGGGGGUAGAAUUUCAGGUGUAGCGGUGAAAUGCGUAGAGAUCUGAAGGAAUACCGGUGGCGAAGGCGGCCCCCUGGACAGAUACUGACACUCAGAUGCGAAAGCGUGGGGAGCAAACAGGAUUAGAUACCCUGGUAGUCCACGCCGUAACGAUGUCUACUUUGGAGGUUGUGGCCUUGAGCCGUGGCUUUCGGAGCUAACGCGUUAAGUAGACCGCCUGGGGAGUACGGUCGCAAGAUUAAAACUCAAAUGAAUUGACGGGGGCCCGCACAAGCGGUGGAGCAUGGUGGUUUAAUUUCGAUGCAACGCGAAGAACCUUACCUACUCUUGACAUCCAGAGAACUUUCAGGAGAUGGAUUGUG